GCAGAGACAACCAGGAGGUUGGCUUAGAAGCAGCCACCCUUGAAAGAGUGCGUAAUAGCUCACUGGUCUAGUGAUUCCGCGCCGACAAUGUAGCGGGGCUCAAGCGUACCGCCGAAGUCGUGUCAUUCAUACAUAAGGGCCAACGCCUGUAUGGAUGGGUAGGGGAGCGUCGUCUGCCGGGUGAAGCAGCCGCGUAAGCGAGUUGUGGACGGUUGACGAGUGAGAAUGCAGGCAUGAGUAGCGAUUCACACGUGAGAAACGUGUGCGCCGAUUGACUAAGGGUUCCUGGGUCAAGCUGAUCUGCCCAGGGUAAGUCGGGACCUAAGGCGAGGCCGACAGGCGUAGUCGAUGGAUAACCGGUUGAUAUUCCGGUACCCGCUGUGGAGCGUCAAACAUCGAGCAUCGUGAUGCUAAGGCCGUGAAGCCGCCGGCUGAGUCUUCGGACGAGGUCGGAGUGGUGGAGCCGCUGAACCAAGCGGUUAGUAGGUGAGUGAUGGGGUGACGCAGGAAGGUAGUCCAGCCCGGGCGGUGGUUGUCCCGGGGUAAGGGUGUAGCCCGAGUGGUAGGUAAAUCCGCCACUCAUCAAGGGUGAGACCUGAUGCCGAGCCGAUUGUGGUGAAGUGGAUGAUCCUA
rnacentral:rRNA from 1 species